GAUGAACGCUGGCGGCGUGCCUAAUACAUGCAAGUCGAGCGAACGGACGAUAAGCUUGCUUCUCUGAGGUUAGCGGCGGACGGGUGAGUAACACGUGGAUAAGCUACCUAUAAGACGGGGAUAACUUCGGGAAACCGGAGCUAAUACCGGAGAAUAUUUUGAACCGCAUGGUUCAAAAGUUAAAGACGGUCUUGCUGUCACUUAUAGAUGGAUCCGCGCUGCAUUAGCUAGUUGGUAAGGUAACGGCUUACCAAGGCAACGAUGCAUAGCCGACCUGAGAGGGUGAUCGGCCACACUGGAACUGAGACACGGUCCAGACUCCUACGGGAGGCAGCAGUAGGGAAUCUUCCGCAAUGGGCGAAAGCCUGACGGAGCAACGCCGCGUGAGUGAUGAAGGUCUUCGGAUCGUAAAACUCUGUUAUUAGGGAAGAAAAUAUGUAUAAGUAACUGUGCACAUCUUGACGGUACCUAAUCAGAAAGCCACGGCUAACUACGUG
rnacentral:rRNA from 1 species